AUGUUAAAUUUUCGUGAUACUUUGGAGUCUUGUGCGCUUACUGAUCGUGGUUUCUCAGGUCAUCCCUUUACAUACGAUAAUAGAAGAAGUGGACGUGCAAAUGUCCAGGUCCGACUUGAUAGAGUUGUUGCCUCGGAUGAGUGGAGGGACAUGUUCGGCCGCGCAUCUGUGACACACCUUGUCUCGCCAGCGUCGGACCACUGUCCUCUCCUUCUCAGGUGCGAUCUGGAUGAGGAGCAGAGACCAAAAAGCAGUCGGAGAUAUGAGCUAAUGUGGGAAAGAUCUCCGGCGUUGGAAGCCAUAAUUGCCAACUCCUGGACAAGCAAAGGUACGAAACGGAACCUAGGCGAUGUUCGGGAGGCCCUCGCAUCAGUAAUGAAUGACUUGCAUGUUUGGAGUAAUAAAACAUUCGGCAAUGUUACGAGAGAACUGGAGAAAUCACGGUCACGACUGGAGGAGCUCACUCAUAUGAACGCCGACCGGCGGGAGAUAAGAGCAGAAAUGGAUAAAAUGAAUGAAUUACUAUAUAGAGAGAUCAAGAAUUCAGUGGCUAAAGGAGGGCGACCGGAAUACUCAAAUGUUUCAUCGUAA
rnacentral:rRNA from 1 species